UACGAAGGGUGCAAGCGUUGUUCGGAUUUAUUGGGCCUAAAGCAUCCGUAGCCGGUCCUGCAAGUCUUCCGUUAAAUCCAGCUGCUCAACAGAUGGGCUGCGGGGGAUACUACAGGGCUAGGAGGCGGGAGAGGCAAGCGGUACUUAGUGGGUAGGGGUAAAAUCCGUUGAUCCAUUGAAGACCACCAGUGGCGAAGGCGGCUUGCCAGAACGCACUCGACGGUGAGGGAUGAAAGCUGGGGGAGCAAACCGG
rnacentral:rRNA from 1 species